UACAGAGGUCCCAAGCGUUGUUCGGAUUCACUGGGCGUAAAGGGUGCGUAGGCGGUCGGGUAAGUCUGAUGUGAAAUCUCACAGCUUAACUGUGAAACUGCAUUGGAUACUAUCCGGCUAGAGGAAUGGAGGGGAGACUGGAAUACUUGGUGUAGCAGUGAAAUGCGUAGAUAUCGGGAGGAACACCGGUGGCGAAGGCGGUUCUCUGGGCCUUACCUGACACUGAGGAGCGAAAGCGUGGGGAGCGAACAGG
rnacentral:rRNA from 1 species